AGAGGAGAGUGGAAUUCUGGUGUAGCGGUGAAAUGCGUAGAUAUCAGGAGGAACACCGGUGGUGUAGACGGCUCUCUGGACCGUAACUGACGCUGAGACACGAAAGCGUGGGUAGCAAACAGGAUUAGAUACCCUGGUAGUCCACGCCCUAAACGAUGCAUAUUUGGUGUGGGUCAUUCAGUUGAUCUGUGCCGGAGCUAACGCGUUAAAUAUGCCGCCUGGGGAGUACAGUCGCAAGGCUGAAACUCAAAGGAAUUGACGGGGGCCCGCACAAGCGGUGGAGCAUGUGGUUCAAUUCGACGCAACGCGAAGAACCUUACCUGGGCUCGAACGGCUGGCUAACGGAGGUGGAAACAUCUUUACCCCGCAAGGGGGUCCAGUCGAGGUGCUGCAUGGCUGUCGUCAGCUCGUGUCGUGAGAUGUUGGGUUAAGUCCCGCAACGAGCGCAACCCUUGUCCUGUGUUGCCAUGUCGCGAUUACAUCAAAACGGAACUCGCAGGAGACCGCCAGCGAUAAGCUGGAGGAAGGUGGGGAUGACGUCAAGUCCUCAUGGCCUUUAUGUCCAGGGUUACACACGUGCUACAAUGGCCGGUACAAAGCGUCCCUAACCCGCGAGGGGGAGGCAAUCGCAGAAAACCGGUCUCAGUUCGGAUUGCAGGCUGCAACUCGCCUGCAUGAAGCUGGAAUCGCUAGUAAUGGCAGAUCAGCACGCUGCCGUGAAUACGUUCCCGGGCCUUGUACACACCGCCCGUCACAUCACGAAAGUGGAUUGUACUAGAAGUCUGCAGGCUGACCC
rnacentral:rRNA from 1 species